rnacentral:rRNA from 1 species
CAGGAGAAGGAACUCGGCAAAUUAACACCGUAACUUCGGGAGAAGGUGUGCCCCGGUAGCGUGUAGAGACUUGCUCUCAAGCGCGAUGGGGUUGCAGUGAAAUGGUGGCUGCGACGGUUUAGUAAAAACACAGCACUCUGCAAACACGAAAGUGGACGUAUAGGGUGUGACGCCUGCCCGGUGCCGGAAGGUUAAGUGAUGGGGUGCAAGCUCUUGAUCGAAGCCCCGGUAAACGGCGGCCGUAACAAUAACGGUCCUAAGGUAGCGAAAUUCCUUGUCGGGUAAGUUCCGACCUGCACGAAUGGCGUAACGAUGGCCACACUGUCUCCUCCUGGGACUCAGCGAAGUUGUAAUGUUUGUGAAGAUGCAAUCUACCCGCGGCUAGACGGAAAGACCCCAUGAACCUUUACUGUAGCUUUGCAUUGGACUUUGAACCGGUUUGUGUAGGAUAGGUGGGAGACUGUGAAGCCGGGACGCUAGUUUCGGUGGAGUCAACCUUGAAAUACCACCCUGAUUUGUUUGAGGUUCUAACCUUGGUCCGUGAAUCCGGAUCGGGGACCGUGCAUGGUAGGCAGUUUGACUGGGGCGGUCUCCUCCCAAAAGGUAACGGAGGAGUACGAAGGUACGCUUAGGGCGGUCGGACAUCGCCCACAAAGUGCAAUGGCAAAAGCGUGCUUGACUGCGAGACCCACAAGUCGAGCAGGUACGAAAGUAGGUCAUAGUGAUCCGGUGGUUCUGUAUGGAAGGGCCAUCGCUCAACGGAUAAAAGGUACUCUGGGGAUAACAGGCUAAUUCCUCCCAAGAGUUCAUAUCGACGGGGGAGUUUGGCACCUCGAUGUCGGCUCAUUACAUCCUGGGGCUGUAGUCGGUCCCAAGGGUAUGGCUGUUCGCCAUUUAAAGUGGUACGCGAGCUGGGUUUAAAACGUCGUGAGACAGUUUGGUCCCUAUCUGCCGUGGGCGCUGGAAAUUUGAAGGGGGCUGCUCCUAGUACGAGAGGACCGGAGUGGACGAACCUCUGGUGUACCGGUUAUGACGCCAGUCGUAUCGCCGGGUAGCUAAGUUCGGAAGAGAUAAACGCUGAAAGCAUCUAAGCGUGAAACUCGCCUUAAGAUAAGAUUUCCCGGAGUCUUGAACUCCCUGAAGGGUCGUCGAAGACCACGACGUUGAUAGGUCAGGUGUGGAAGCGCAGCAAUGCGUUAAGCUAACUGAUACUAAUUGCCCGUGCGGCUCG